UGAAUUUUAUUGUUUUCGGAAUAACUAUCGCAGAGGCUCCCAAUGAGAUAACUGGCGUGGAGCCUGCCAUAGAGAAGACGGGGAGGCUCCCAAGGUUUUUAUCUAGACGAAGUUGCUAUAUAUACAGAAUAGAGAAGUCGUUUUUUAAAAUAGUUGCGGUAGAGAAUAGAGAAUUCUCUUUUUCUGUGCAAAAUAGAGAAGUCGAUUCUCUUUUUCUGUGCAAAAUAGAGAAGUCGUUUUUUAAAAUAGUUUGUUGUAGAGAAUAGAAAAUUGGCUAUGGAGAAUAGAGAAUUUGCUUUUCCAAAUUUGCCUUUUCUGAUAAGUCAGCUUUUUAAAAUAGUCGUUGCAGAGAAUAGAAAAUUAGCUAUGGACUUGUUAAACAAACAGAAAAAGCCCCCGCGUCGCUCCCAAGGGGCGACACGGGCGGAACCCUGGCGACCCGACCCAGCCGCCCCAAUCCUCUCCUCCUCCCCCGCCGCCGCCGGUGGGCGCCGCCGGGAGAAGCUCGUGUGGCGUCGGCGGUGGCGGGGCCUUCUUGGCUGCGGACCCUCGGGAUCUCGCGCGGUGGCGACGUGGAGUGGCGGCGGCACGGGGAGCGGCGUGCUGGCGGCGUGGCGUGGCAGCGGCGCGGGGGAGCGGCCCGCUCGGCUGCUGCUUCUUCCUCUCUCUCCUCGGCUGUGCGUGGUGGUUGGCCUGCACCGGCGUGGGGGAGCGGCCCGCUCGGCUGCUGCUUCUUCCUCUCUCUCCAGCCGCUGCCUUUCCAUCUCCUCCUCUUACCCCGUCGUCCUCUUACCUCCCCUCUCUCUCGCGCGCGGCGGCAGGUCUCCGGUGACGAAGGCCAGACGCGCGGCGGCCCGAUUCCAGCGGCAGAGAUCUGACUCGCGGCGUUGCUAGUGUGAGGCGGCCUCAGCAGCGGUGGCUCGCGCGGCGGGCAGGCAUCCCGUGGCGGCGCAGGCGCGUGGUGCUGCGCCGGUGGGGUCUGCUCGCUACUGCUGAGGCCGGCGAUUUCUCGGUCCUGGAGUGCCGCUGCUGUUGGUGCUGCGCUGUCGGUUGGACAGUGCGCCCAGCGCGGCUGGCUUUCUCCGUCGGGUCGGUGGCGCUGCUGUGUACCGCUGCCUUUGCUGUGAUGUGGUUGCUGCUGUGUUGCCUCUAGUUGCUGGGCGGCAGGCCACGCUUGGGAGGGCGUGGUUGGAGGUUGCGGACGGUACGGGAGUUGGCCAGGAGGCGUGCUUGGUGCGUGUUGGCCGGCUUGGCUGGCCACGCGUGGUUGGCCGGUGCCCGGAGGGAGGCGGGUGUUGGUAUGUGGCCCGAUGUGGUCGUCGGCGCCACGUGGCAGGUUGUGCGACGCGUGCCUUUGUGCCCAUCCGGCGGUACCUCAUGGCUUGCAGCUCGCCGGGCUCUAGCUCGUGGUGUUGUCGUGUGCACUGCUUGCUAACUGCAGAUCUAGGCGUCUUGACACGGGUAUGGGUUAGUCUAUGCACAGGCCGUUUGGGCCAUGUGCCAACACCUUUCGGGGUUGGUAUUGUGGCCGGUGCGUGCGCCUUGUUGUGCGGUGUGUGGUGGCCUCUGAUGGCGGUACGGUGGGCCAUCCAGGUUAUUGCACUAGUGCGGUUGUCGGCGUUGCUUAGACUUUGUUGUUGUUCCUUUGCGGGUUGCCGCGGUUACAUUUGUUUUGCUCGUGGCGCUCCGGGUGAAAGCCUUGCCUGACCUCUGUUGGUGCCGACGACGGCGACGCUCUCGGGCGUCGUUUCCUCCUUGGUGGCGUCGUCGAGGAGCCCCGACCAACCUCCAUGCCCCAUGGUCCAAUCCUUCGGGUGAAAACCCAGAUUUGGCUUGCCGGAUCGGACAACGGCGACGUUGUUUACGUCGCUCCCUUGUUGGAGGCGUUGUUCUUGGAGGAUUGCCCUUGGCUGGAGCGUGUUCCUGUGGCAUACGCCUUGGCUCUAGCGAGCAGGUCUUGGGCACACUGACAUCGUGCAAGUGCGCCGCCUUGGAGGGCAAGGGUGGUGGUUAGCGGAGGAUCCCGCGUUGCGGAAUCUUGGUCGCAUGGGUGCGCUCGACGGGUAUCAACCGACGAAAUGGUGUUUGUUAUGACCAAUAGGGAGCGGUGAGAUACGGUGGUGCCAUGUUCGGGACGAGCGCGACGAUCGACGGCCCAAGGCUUCUGCAGUUGGCGAGACGCCUCAUGGGCUUGUCUUUGAGUUUUGUGAGGCCGGCGGGCCGCGGCGUCUUUUCGCUAUCCUGUACUUGUGUAUUUGGCAUUUAGGCCUAGGGUUGUUUGGUGGCGUUGGUUGUAAUGUUAGUCUAGCGGCCGUUGGUCGUGUUCUUGUUUUGAGUGAUCAGCUUUGUCGGCCCCUUCUUGGGUUUGUAAAUACAUUCUUUCUAUCAAUGCAUCGAGACGCAAGUUUUGCGUUUUAUCGAAAAAUAAAAUAGAGAAUUUACUUUUCCAAAUUUGCCUUUUCUGAUUUGCUUUUUCUAUACAGAAUAAGGAAGUCGCUUUUUGAAAUAGUUGAUGUAAAGAAUAGAAAAUUAUGGAGGAGAGAAUUUGCUAUUCUAAAUUUGCAUUUUCUGAUUUUCGUUUUCUGUACAGGAUAGAGAAGUUGCUUUUUAAAAUAGUUGGUUUCCUGAUUUGCUUAGAAUAAAAGUUGCCGUACAGACAACAAUACAAUACGAAGUUGCUGGACCCAGAGAUUGCUCUUCUUUGAAUUUAGCUAUUAGGCUAAUGCUAGGAUCCUCCAUGGGUUCAAAACAUGAGCAAGUCACUCCCAACUAGUAGUGAUCCUCCAUGUGUUCAGAAAUCAGAACAUGGUUCAGGAAUCAAGUCAUUUUCAGAUUCCUGCAAGUCAGACAUAUUUAGUAAUUACUGUAUUCUAGUGCAAAUUUGUUAAUCACUGUCUUCUAAGCAAAUUUUCAGAUCGUUCUCGUGCAAAUCCUGCAGCAUUCGUUCCCUUUUUUGUAGCUCCUAGGUUGUAUCAAGGCAUCGGCGAUUUUUGUCCGUGAUUUUUAGUCUGGAGGGUUUCGAUCCCUCGGAGUAGUUUGGUUUUGUUGGAUUUUGGGGGGCAAGCUAUUCCAGUGUGAGGACACACAGGUGGAUCUCUCUGUGUGCUUUUUAUUAAAGGAACACCCAAGCAUUUAAUUACGUCACUGUGCUAGCUAAAUCGCUAGCAACAAGUUCAGCUACAUCACUGGGAAGCUGGUCUAGCCACAUCAUGGCUGCCAAUUCCAGAAUUUGCAGUUUGCACCACGUGCUGCAAGGUGAUGUGCUACAUUGUUACAAGCUCGUGGGCAAACAGAUACAUCAUAAACAAUCUUAAGCUACAUUUAACAGGAAUUUCAGUUCAGAAAACAAAGCUCCCAGAUUUGAUAAAUCCCUGCUAGUCAUUGCAUGCUUCAGGUUCACUGCAUCUGUCUCCAGAAUGAUGUGGUGCCCAGCUCUGAUGCAUAUUUGAUCGCUCAUGAAAGGCAUCAGAUAAGCAUUGUAAAUGGCCUGCUCCAGCUGCUAGAGCUUCACCCUCAUCAUUUCUUAUAACAAAACCCCAACCACCUGAACAAGUGUUCUCCCUGAAAGCCCCAUCACAAUUAAUUUUCAGGAAAUUUGGGGCAGGAGCUUCCCAAAGUUGGGUUUGUUUCAGAUUAUUGCCUUUUCUUCUUCUUUAUUUUAGCAGAUUGAGAUAGUGCCCAACAUGCUUCAUAACUGAAAACUGGAGAUCUUCAACUGUUCUCUUUUUCUCUCCUAGGUUUACUUAAUUCCUGUUCGAACACCAUAGCCAAAGAAGAGUACAGAUGGUAAUUUUAUUUUCUUUCGUUUGCUUCUAGUUUCUCCUUGAUAACUUCAUUUGGCUGCAUACAGGUUAUCAUUUUUUCUCUCCAGUCAUCUAUUUGUAAAUUAAGCUCUCCAAGGAUUUCUCAGGCAAAGAGGAUUAGUUUUGAGCCACUGUAUAGAUACCUAGAUCUUAUAGAUGUUGCCUAGAUGUUUGUAGUUCUUGAUUAUUUUUAGGCAAGUUUUGAGCCACUACUAGUAUAGAUGCCUAGUCUUUAUAGGUGUUGCCUAGCUGUUGUAGUUCUGGAUUUUUAGGCAAGUUUCAAGCCACUGCUAGUAUAGAUGUUGCCUAGAAAAUCCCAGCAAACUUGGCUCCUCAAGAAGCAACAAGGCUCAUAUUAAGCGACUUCAAAUAGGAGAAUCAACUAUAAGUUGCUUUUUAAGAAAAAUCACGACAAUUCCAACAAAGUUGGCUCCUCAAGAAGCAACAAGGUCAGAAUAAUCUCUAAGUUGAUUUUAACAGAUCAAUCCGACCAUCUAGUUCAAGCCAAGGGUUGCCUUCAGUUGUAACAUGAUAUUGAGAUUCACAAACAUUGGCAUCAUGCAAAUUGGUACCUUUGUUUGGCUGUCUACAAUAUUAAUGCAAUGGGAACAAAGAUGUUCCAAACCCCGCAAUCGCAGGUGCUUCUUGGCAAGUGUCUGAAAAGAAACAGGGGGGAUGCUGGCAAUGUAAAGCAAUAUUGUGGGAGGAUGGUUGUGUGUGAAGCAAUAGGAAGGCUGGACCCCAAUCACACAAGUUUUUCUUAACCUGAACAAGUUCUUAGCAAGUUUCGGAAUGCAACAAUGUAGUAUAUAUCAUGGUUAUUGUCGUAUGUGUUUCUUUGCUUUUCAAGUGCUUGCACUACAGCAAUGUAAAAAGGUUGCAUGAACAAAUGUAGGAACAAUGUAGGGGUGGGGUGGGAUUUGUCUUCCUGGAACCAUGAAAGUAGGCCGUGUGAUUUUUGGCUGCAGGAUCUAACUUAUCCUCUUUCAGAUCAAAAAGCAAACUAACCUAAUGCCCAUGCAA